AAGCGGUGGAGUAUGUGGUUUAAUUCGAUGCAACGCGAAGAACCUUACCUGGUCUUGACAUCCCGGAGACCCUUAGGAACUAGGGGUGCUUCCAUCUGGAAGAAUCUGGAGACAGGUGCUGCAUGGCUGUCGUCAGCUCGUGUCGUGAGAUGUUGGGUUUAAGUCCCGCAACGAGCGCAACCCUUGCCUUUAGUUGCCAGCAGUUCGGCUGGGCACUCUAAAGGGACUGCCGGUGUUAAACCGGAGGAAGUGGGGAUGACGUCAAGUCCUCAUGGCCUUUAUGACCAGGGCUACACACGUACUACAAUGGCCGAUACAAAGGGCAGCGACACUGCGAGGUGAAGCCAAUCCCGUAAAAUCGGUCUCAGUCCGGAUCGGAGUCUGCAACUCGACUCCAUGAAGUUGGAAUCGCUAGUAAUCGUGGAUCAGCAUGCCACGGUGAAUACGUUCCCGGGCCUU
rnacentral:rRNA from 1 species